rnacentral:rRNA from 1 species
CCAAUAGCGUAUAUUAAAGUUGUUGCAGUUAAAAAGCUCGUAGUUGAAUUUCGGGGUCAGUAGGUUGGUCAUGCCACUGGUAUGUACUGGCUUCACUGAUUCCUCCUUCCUGAUGAGCCGUAAUGCCAUUAAUUUGGUGUUGCGAGGAAUCUGGACUGUUACUUUGAAAAAAUUAGAGUGUUUAAAGCAGGCUAACGCUUGAAUACAUUAGCAUGGAAUAAUGAAAUAGGACGUUCGAUCUUAUUUUGUUGGUUUCUAAGAUUGACGUAAUGAUUAAUAGGGAUAGUUUGGGGCAUUAGUAUUCAAUUGUCAGAGGUGAAAUUCUUGGAUUUAUUGAAGACUAACUACUGCGAAAGCAUUUGCCAAGGAUGUUUUCAUUAAUCAAGAACGAAAGUUAGGGGAUCGAAGACGAUCAGAUACCGUCGUAGUCUUAACCAUAAACUAUGCCGACUAGGGAUCGGAUGAUGUUAAUUUUUUAAUGACUCAUUCGGCGCCUUAC